GUUUGUCUAGCUUAGUCGGUAGAGUGCAAGACUUUUAACCAUGAAGUUGUGGGUUCGAGCCCCAUCGUGGGUG
rnacentral:tRNA from 7 species